rnacentral:rRNA from 1 species
AGCGAACGCUGGCGGCAGGCCUAACACAUGCAAGUCGAGCGGACGUAGCAAUACGUCAGCGGCAGACGGGAGAGUAACACGUGGGAACGCGCCCUUCGGUUCGGAAUAACUCAGGGAAACUUGGGCUAAUACCGAAUACGCCCUUACGGGGAAUGAUUCAUUGCCGAAGGAACGGCCCGCGUCCGAUUAGCUUGUUGGUGAGGUAACGGCUCACCAAGGCGACGAUCGGUAGCUGGUCUGAGAGGAUGACCAGCCUCACUGGGACUGAGACACGGCCCAGACUCCUACGGGAGGCAGCAGUGGGGAAUAUUGGACAAUGGGCGCAAGCCUGAUCCAGCCAUGCCGCGUGGGUGAUGAAGGCCCUAGGGUUGUAAAGCCCUUUCGGCGGGGAAGAUAAUGACGGUACCCGCAGAAGAAGCCCCGGCUAACUUCGUGCCAGCAGCCGCAGUAAGAC